rnacentral:rRNA from 1 species
CCUACGGGAGGCAGCAGUGAGGAAUAUUGGUCAAUGGACGAGAGUCUGAACCAGCCAAGUAGCGUGAAGGAUGACUGCCCUAUGGGUUGUAAACUUCUUUUAUAUGGGAAUAAAAUGUUCCACGUGUGGGCUUUUGUAUGUACCAUAUGAAUAAGGAUCGGCUAACUCCGUGCCAGCAGCCGCGGUAAUACGGAGGAUCCGAGCGUUAUCCGGAUUUAUUGGGUUUAAAGGGAGCGUAGGUGGCUUGUUAAGUCAGGUGUGAAAGUUUGCGGCUCAACCGUAAAAUUGCAGUUGAAACUGGCAGUCUUGAGUACAGUAGAGGUGGGCGGAAUUCGUGGUGUAGCGGUGAAAUGCUUAGAUAUCACGAAGAACUCCGAUUUCGAAGGCAGCUCACUGGACUGCAACUGACACUGAGGCUCGAAAGUGUGGGUAUCAAACAGGAUUAGAUACCCCAGUAGUC